rnacentral:ncRNA from 1 species
AGCUAACGCGUGAAGUAGACCGCCUGGGGAGUACGGUCGCAAGAUUAAAACUCAAAGGAAUUGACGGGGACCCGCACAAGCGGUGGAUGAUGUGGAUUAAUUCGAUGCAACGCGAAAAACCUUACCUACCCUUGACAUGGCUGGAAUCCUUAAGAGAUUAGGGAGUGCUCGCAAGAGAACCAGUACACAGGUGCUGCAUGGCUG